CAAAACCAGUUACUUUCAUUUAUGGUAAGAAAUAACUUAUCAGGUCAUAAUACCUCAGCCUCCCCAUCACCAACUAUAGUCUUAAACUACAAAAAAAAAAAAAAUGCCCCCUGAAAAAAAGAGUCAAAUAAAGAAUUAAUGUGCUAUUAGCAAUUGGAAAGUCUAGAAAACGCUGAAUUACUAUCAAAUUAAAUUUGAUUUCAUCGUCCAUGUCUGCUGUCCAUGUUCCUCCUGAAAAUGAUGGUAGAACCCAAAACAGAGGGAUGUCCUGGACUUUGACUAGGCUCCACCUCUGCUUUGAGGCACAUUACGAGGUUGCACCCAACCCCCUUCUUCAAAAUGCAACCACACUUCUCACUGUGUAAGUACCGAUACACCUCAAGACUUUCUUAUAUUGUUGCCACUCCUCUGUCUGAAGGAGUGGAGCUGAAGAAGCAGGUAAAUAUUUUACAACACAUAAUCAGUUUCUUCAUGUCCUCCUCCAUUUUUACUAAGUUUGCAGAUAUUCUGUAUUUUCCUGUCUACUGCAUAUUUCUGAACUUGGCUGGAUGGAUAGAUGGAUGUUUUCAUUUGCCCAAUUUUUGCAUAAAAGUCCAUUGUGACGUGAACAUCUUGUUGCAUGCAUAAUGAUGAUGAUGCAUUGACACAUCAUGCACAGUGACCAGCUGAAGUCUCUGCACCAACCCCACUUCUGAAUGUCUGUCAUGACAUCAAGGGCCAACCAGCAUGUUAUGCUAAUUGGACACAUGCGCUGGAAGCUCUGUUGUGCUGGCCUUGUUUUGAGCUGUUUGAUUAGGAAUUCAUUGUAUCUGGUCUGUGUUUGAUGCCGUGACAAAGAGGCCUACGCAAUUUUUUAUUUAUUUUUUAUUUUUUUUGUCUUUGUUCCAUUAUUUCUCCUCAUAUUCUCAUUUUUCUUUUUAACAGGUUGGGAUUCUCUACAUUUACAGUUUAUCUGCAGUGUAAAAAAAAUAAAAUUGCAUUUAUUUGCUUAUUGGUUGUAGCAGCAGCUUUCAACUGUUAUGUUUUCUGUGAAAAUUUCUCUCUCGACCAUCUUAGUGAAGAUAUCAAAAGGCUACAUAACUGUCUGUCAAACAAGUUCACAAACCCUUCAUGCACUCCAAAUCUUCUUUUUCUGAUUAUUUGAUUUGAAUUUUUUUCCAUAGCUUCUUCUCUGGUCUCUGAACUUUUUUGAACCCUAACAGGAGAGAUUUGCUUUAGAUUUUCUUAAAUAUGGUAAAAAAAAAAAAAACAAGAAGCGCAAAACACUUGUCCGACUUCAUGAACUUUGCUGCCCCCAAGUGGAUUUUUUAUUUACUACGCCUUUUGAAUGCAUUUCUGGCUGAAUGUUAUUUUUUUUAUUUUUUUUUUUUAUUUUAAAUCAGAGCAUUUAAUUUUCAUGCUAUAAUUUUGUUGCUGAAUGAUUUUCACAUUUGCUUCUUUGAUUUUUUUUUUCUUUUUUUUGCACAACGCUUUUAUUAUUUUUAAAUGAAUGUCAUUGCCAAAUUAAUAUAUUGUCAUUUAUUAAUGUAUUGUUCAGGUCAAGCAGUUCUGAUUGAAUUUUGAAAAACUGCUAAUUUUAAUGUUUGAGGUGAAGGUAAAGGCUAAAUUGAAGUUUUAGAGUUACACUGUUGUCCUGUUUGCACAUCGUAGUGAACAUGAUCUUUUUAAAAAAAUAAAUAAAUAAACAUCUUAUUUAAGA